GGAGAGGUGUCCGAGCUGGCCGAAGGAGCACGACUGGAAAUCGUGUAUACUCAAAAGGUAUCCAGGGUUCGAAUCCCUGCCUCUCCGCCA
rnacentral:tRNA from 1 species